rnacentral:misc_RNA from 1 species
AAGUCGUAACAAGGUUUCCGUAGGUGAACCUGCGGAAGGAUCAUUAAUGAAUACAAAAGCUUUUGAAGUUGUUUUGCUGGUCUCUAGGGACAUUGUGCACGCUUCAUUAGUUUCCACUUCAUACCCCUGUGCACCUUUGAUAGAUUUCGGUUGGGUUAUCCUGGUUUUCUUAAUUGAAGGCCUUGGUUUUCCUAAAUGAUUUCUAUACUAUACCACACACCAAAUGUAUGUUUAUAAUGAAUGUUUAUAAUUACAAGGCCAUGAGCCUUAUAAACUUAAUACAACUUUCAACAACGGAUCUCUUGGCUCUC